rnacentral:tRNA from 1 species
GCGCGCGUUUUAUUGAGCCGGGACCGGAAGUCGUUGCGAAACCGGCGUUGGCCUCCGGAGCCAAAGGCCGCAGGUUCGAAUCCUGCAACGAGCGCG